rnacentral:lncRNA from 1 species
UCCUACCAAGCCUUCUCUCUUUUCUUAUGGAUAACAUAGAGCUCUAUAUAGUAUCCCCCUCCCUACUAGGACAGGUUUGGAAGCUAGGACUGAUUAGACCGUACUGUACAUCCUCUUCUGGGCAUCGUCAUCGAUCCCUAAGACCCUCUUAUGUGCUACGUCCUACUCCUACUGCAGAUAGAUGCCGACCCGCUUGACUGCUUGACUUUGCCUGCUUUCCUGUCUCAACAAUAAGAUAAGAAAGGAAAUCAGUCCCUAAGCUGCCUAAUUCCUUAUCCUCCGUAUAGUCAAGGGCCUAUUCUCUUUAUUCUCUCCCUCACCUCUGUGCGCACCGGUAAUUCCUUCACAGUUCAAACUCCCUUUGACUGCUAACUCUUAGCAAUAUCCUUUCUUAUAUACUUGCAGUUCAGUUCCAAACCUUAGGGCAAUGAUAAGAUAAAGAACCGCUCCGCACCUUCCCUAUGUGCAAUGCGAGAAGUUCCUUGGUUUAUAGAGGUAAAUCAGUCAGACAUGCCAUGUUCAGUCUAAUUGCCCUAUAGGUCUUACAGACUAACUCUUCCUAGUGUCAGAGCUAAUCGAAUUGGGAUACCUUAAAUAGUCAAGAUCUUUCCCCUAUGUCAGUUGGAUUCGUGAAAAGAGAACAGCUCCUUCUUUGCAUCAGUUACCUUUCAAGGCUUUGGCUAGGAAGAAUAGGCAGCUAUUGAAUCCGGGGCUAUGGACUCAGCCGUUGCACAUAACUUAAAACAAUGCCAAUUACCAGUCGCAGUAGCAAUAGGAUAAGGCACGCAAGGUGACGAAGGAAAGGCAGAAGUCCCACAGCGUUUACGCCGACAACAGCCUAUUCUGUGCAUUGUCUCAUUGAUCCGAUUUGCAAACAACCUAUUUUAUUUUGACUAACAACCUAAAAGGCGACAACAGCUCUUAGUCCAACAACAGCUAGAACAGUAGCAGGGAAUUCAAUAGCAGUUCCUUCUGUGCUCGUGGCUAUUUCUACUAUUGAUAGGGACAUUGGCUUCAUUCCUAUCCAAAGAGCUCAUGUGCAGCAGAUUCUUCCACUUCACUUUCUAACAGGGCAUUCGAUUCAGCCUAGUCUUCCACCGCUUGGCCAGUUUCACUAAAGGGCCUUUUCUUGUUAUUGCCAAUCCCCAGAAGACCUCUUGAAAGCAUUCUUUGAAAGCCUCAAUUCCGAUUCUGUUCUUUCAUUCCCACUGAAGAGAAAGUAGAAUGCCU